rnacentral:rRNA from 1 species
AUUGAACGCUGGCGGCAGGCCUAACACAUGCAAGUCGAGCGGAGCUGCGUACGGGUGAUUAAUGCCUAGGAAUCUGCCUGGUAGUGGGGGAUAACGUCCGGAAACGGGCGCUCAUACCGCAUACUAUCAGAUGAGCCUAGGUCGGAUUAGCUAGUUGGUGGGGUAAAGGCCUACCAAGGCGACGAUCCGUAACUGGUCUUAGAGGAUGAUCAGUUACACUGGGAUUGAGACAGGGUCCAUAUUAAAACGAGAGGCAGCAGUGUGGAAUAUUGUACAAUGGAGGUAAGUCUGAUGCAGCCAUGACGAGUGUGUGAAGAAGGUCUUCAGGUUGUAAAGCACUUUAAGUAGGGAGACGGUACGAACAGAGUAAGCACCGGCUAACGCCGUGCCAGCAGCCGCGGUAAUAC